rnacentral:rRNA from 1 species
UACAGAGGGUGCGAGCGUUAAUCGGAAUUACUGGGCGUAAAGCGUGCGCAGGCGGUUUUGUAAGUCUGUCGUGAAAGCCCCGGGCUCAACCUGGGAAUUGCGAUGGAGACUGCAAGGCUUGAAUCUGGCAGAGGGGGGUAGAAUUCCACGUGUAGCAGUGAAAUGCGUAGAGAUGUGGAGGAACACCGAUGGCGAAGGCAGCCCCCUGGGUCAACACUGACGCUCAUGCACGAAAGCGUGGGGAGCAAACAGG